CUAGUACCUCAUUCUCAUCCACUAAUCAGUGUAUUUAAAGUAAAAUAAUUCGUGUUCAUUAUUUGUGGAUUGUGUGUCCUUUAGUUUGGUUAUAGCAGGAGUCAUGAUGACUGUAUAUUUGAAAUUCUGUUGAUGAGCAAUGGUUUUGAAUUCAAACUUUUUUACAUACUUUUUACAUAGUCUGGUAGCUCUUUAAUUGUGUAAAUAGCACUUCUACUAAAUAUUAAACAUAUCAAUCAAAGGAUCAAUACAGG